rnacentral:rRNA from 1 species
UACGAGGGGGGCGAGCGUUGUUCGGAAUUAUUGGGCGUAAAGGGUGCGUAGGCGGCCUGACAAGUCUGAUGUGAAAUCCCUGGGCUCAACCCAGGGCCUGCAUCGGAAACUGUCGGGCUUGAGUAUGGGAGAGGUGAGUGGAAUUUCCGGUGGAGCGGUGAAAUGCGUAGAGAUCGGAAAGAACACCAACGGCGAAAGCACUCUGCUGGGCCGACACUGACACUGAGAGACGAAAGCUAGGGGAGCGAAUGGGAUU